GAUGAACGCUGGCGGCGUGCCUAAUACAUGCAAGUCGAGCGAACAGACGCGGAGCUUGCUCCUUUUACGUUAGCGGCGAACGGGUGAGUAACACGUGGAUAACCUACCUUUAAGACUGGGAUAACUUCGGGAAACCGGAUCUAAUACCGGAUAACAUGUUGAACCGCAUGGUUCAACAGUAAAGGACGGUCUUGCUGUCCCUUAUAGAUGGAUCCGCGCCGCAUUAGCUAGUUGGUUAGGUAACGGCUUACCAAGGCAACGAUGCGUAGCCGACCUGAGUGGGUGAUCGGCCACACUGGAACUGAGACACGGUCCAGACUCAUACGGGAGGCAGCAGUAGGGAAUCUGCCGCAAUGGGCGAAAGCCUGACGGAGCAACGCCGCGGGAGUGAAGAAGGUCUUCGGAUCGUAAAUCUCUGUUAUUAGGGAAGAACAAAUGUGUAAGUAACUAUGCACGUCUUGACGGUACCUAAUCAGAAAGCCACGGCUAACUACGUG
rnacentral:rRNA from 1 species